rnacentral:rRNA from 1 species
UACGUAGGGCGCGAGCGUUGUCCGGAAUUAUUGGGCGUAAAGAGCUCGUAGGCGGCCGGUUGCGUCUGCUGUGAAAUCCCGGGGCUUAACCCCGGGCGUGCAGUGGAUACGGGCCGGCUGGAGGCAGGCAGGGGAGAAUGGAAUUCCCGGUGUAGCGGUGAAAUGCGCAGAUAUCGGGAGGAACACCGGUGGCGAAGGCGGUUCUCUGGGCCUGUACUGACGCUGAGGAGCAAAAGCGUGGGGAGCGAACAGG